rnacentral:rRNA from 1 species
GACGGGUAUCCGGCCUGAGAGGGUGAACGGACACACUGGAACUGAGACACGGUCCAGACUCCUACGGGAGGCAGUAGUAGGGAAUAUUGCUCAAUGGGGGAAACCCUGAAGCAGCAACGCCGCGUGGAGGAUGAAGGUUUUAGGAUUGUAAACUCCUUUUGUUAGAGAAGAUUAUGACGGUAUCUAACGAAUAAGCACCGGCUAACUCCGUGCCAGCAGCCGCGGUAAUACGGAGGGUGCAAGCGUUACUCGGAAUCACUGGGCGUAAAGAGUGCGCAGGCGGGAUAGCAAGUCAGAUGUGAAAUGCUAUGGCUUAACCAUAGAACUGCAUUUGAAACUGUUAUUCUA